GAUGAACGCUGGCGGCGUGUCUAAUACAUGCAAGUCGAGCGAACAGACGAGGAGCUUGCUCCUCUGACGUUAGCGGCGGACGGGUGAGUAACACGUGGAUAACCUACCUAUAAGACUGGGAUAACUUCGGGAAACCGGAGCUAAUACCGGAUAAUAUAUUGAACCGCAUGGUUCAAUAGUGAAAGACGGUUUUGCUGUCACUUAUAGAUUGAUCCGCGCCGCAUUAGCUAGUUGGUAAGGUAACGGCUUACCAAGGCAACGAUGCGUAGCCGACCUGAGAGGGUGAUCGGCCACACUGGAACUGAGACACGGUCCAGACUCCUACGGGAGGCAGCAGUAGGGAAUCUUCCGCAAUGGGCGAAAGCUUGACGGAGCAACGCCGCGUGAGUGAUGAAGGUCUUCGGAUCGUAAAACUCUGUUAUUAGGGAAGAACAAAUGUGUAAGUAACUAUGCACGUCUUGACGGUACCUAAUCAGAAAGCCACGGCUAACUACGUG
rnacentral:rRNA from 1 species